AGAGUUUGAUCCUGGCUCAGGACGAACGCUUGCGGCGUGCCUAAGAAAUGCAAGUCGAACGGAUGGGAUUUAUCCCUUCAGUGGCGAACGGUCGCGUAACACGUAAGGAACCUGCCCUAAAGUGGGGGAUAACAGCCCGAAAGGGUUGCUAAUACCGCAUAUGGAUAUAGAGAGGCAUCUCUUUGUAUCUAAAGCCUUGUGCGCUUUAGGAUGGUCUUGCGGCCUAUCAGCUUGUUGGUGGGGUAACGGCCUACCAAGGCUUUGACGGGUAGCUGGUCUGAGAGGACGAYCAGCCGGAUUGGGACUGAGAUACGGCCCAGACUCCUACGGGGGGCAGCAAUUAGGAAUCUUGCACAAUGGGGGAAACCCUGAUGCAGCGACGCCGCGUGCGGGAUGACGGCAUUCGUGUUGUAAACCGCUUWUGACAGGGAAGAAGAAUGUGACGGUACCUGUCGAAUAAGCCCCGGCUAACUACGUGCCAGCAGCCGCGGUAAUACGUAGGGGGCGAGCGUUGUCCGAAGUUACUGGGCGUAAAGCGCGCGUAGGCGGUCUUUUAAGUUCUGGGGUGAAAGGGUUCACGGCUCAACCGGAACAGUGCCUUGGAUACUGGGAGACUUGAAUCUGCCAGAGGAUAGUGGAAUUCCUGGUGUAGCGGUGAAAUGCGUAGAUAUCAGGAGGAACACCGAUGGCGAAGGCAGCUAUCUGGGCUAAGAUUGACGCUGAGGUGCGAAAGCGUGGGGAGCGAACGGGAUUAGAUACCCCGGUAGUCCACGCCGUAAACGUAUGAGUGCUAGGUGUUCGGGGUAUCGACCCCCCGSGSSCCGUCGCUAACGCAUUAAGCACUCCGCCUGGGGAGUACGGCCGCAAGGUUGAAACUCAAAGGAAUGACGGGGGCCCGCACAAGCGGUGGAGCAUGUGGUUUAAUUCGUCACUAACCGAAGAACCUUACCCAGGCUUGASAUCGCGUGUAAGACGGUGAAAGCCGUUCCCUCCAGCRAUGGAGCACAAAGACAGGUGUUGCAUGGCUGUCGUCAGCUCGUGUCGUGAGAUGUUGGGUUAAGUCCCGCAACGAGCGCAACCCUCACCGUAUGUUGGCAGCGUUAAGUCGGCAACUCUUACGGAACUGCCCGUGCAAGCGGGAGGAAGGUGGGGAUGACGUCAAGUCGGCAUGGCCCUUACGCCUGGGGCUACACACAUGCUACAAUGGGCGGUAACAGAGCGCUCCGAUACCGCGAGGUGGGGGCAAUCGCACAAAUCCGUCCUCAGUUCGGAUUGCAGGCUGCAACUCGCCUGCAUGAAGCUGGAAUCGCUAGUAACCGCAGGUCAGCUAAACUGCGGUGAAUACGUUCCCGGGCCUUGUACACACCGCCCGUCAAGUCACCUGAAUUGUCUGUAGCCGAAGCCGGCGGCCUAACUCGCAAGAGAGGGAGCCGUCUAAGCUAUGGGGAGUAAGGGGGACUAAGUCGUAACAAGG
rnacentral:rRNA from 1 species